rnacentral:lncRNA from 1 species
UUUUUUUUUUUUUGGCCUCCUUACACACUUAUGUACACGUUUGUGCAUAUACACACAAGAGAAAAAGUAAAUAUUAAAAGACGUAAAUUCUCACAUUUUUCACUUUGUGCUUUCAUUUUUCACUUUGUGUUAUAACUAGCUGUUCCUGAUUCUGACAUUUUUGACCUUAUUUUAUAUUAGAUUCUGUAUUAAACAUGGCAUUCAACAGACAUUUAUUAGCUGCUGAUAUGAAUAGCUCUGCAGUGAUGAAUAAGACACAGAAACUCCAGAGACUCAGAAGUGCAGGAUAAUUAUUCCGUAGCUUUGGGGAGAACUCGGCCUGCUUGAUCCACUUUCUAAUUGGCAUCCAGGGGUGAGCACAUGCAGCUGCUUCCCAGAGGGAAAUGGCCCCUUCACAAUUCAAGUCUUCCAUGUUUUGAGGAGCUGGGAGGGAUGUUAGAGACUGAGCCUACCUCUCUAGUUUGUCUCCUCUAUACCAUGGAUACAUAUUCUUUUUGCUUAGAAUACAAUGUCAAGUUGUAGGUUAAGCCCCGAGGUAGCUGCAGGAACUGAGAAAGACUGUACAGUAGCUUCCACUACAUCAUUGUGCUUUUGGACAUUUGUUUGUUUCUGAACAUCCCACUGUUAUCCAAACCCUGGGUUUAUGUACCCAAAUCUGUGCACUUCCUGUUCCUUUGAGCUGUGCUUUGAACUUCACAUGGUGUGGUUACCUGCCAGCCAGCAUUCAUUAGUGGAAGUGAAGCAAUCUCAGCGUGGUUGUGUCUGAGUCAGCACUUAGGUGAAUAGUUACUCUCACCUUUUUCAAUGAGAAUUCUCUUAUGAUAGAAAAUGGGUUGGGGGUGGUGGUGCGCGCCUUUAACCUCAGUACAGGAGUAGUAGAGACAGGUGGGUCUCUGAGGUAUUGGUCAAGCUGGUCUACAUACUGAGUUUCACUCCAGCCAAGGCUACAUUGUGAGAAUUUGGCUCAAGAAAAAUAUGAAACUGCAAACAAACCCAAUAACAGCAGCAACAGCAGCAACAACAACAACAACAACAACAACACAAACAAACAAAACACACACACACACACCAAGUCCUGUAGUUAAAAAGAGCCUAAGAUUCCCAUUCAAACCAUAGUUAACUUUAAACUCACAUGAUCAAAAAUACACCUGGGACUUUCUUGAGGUUGGGCUGCUCUAGCAGGGUAGGGAGUCUCAGGGAGAUGGAAGGGAGAAGAUGAAUCAGCUGAUUGGACAACAUGGGCAAGAACGCUUGGGAAUAAGAGGUUUAGUCUCAGGUGGGGAAGUGUUUGAGGGGUUGAAGGAGUGAGCUGAAACUCAGUAAGGCUGAAGACUGGAUUACAUUAGGCCUUUGGGUUGUGGUAAGGAGUUGAGUUUUGUUUUAAAGUGCAGUGGGGACCUACUGAACAGUUUUGAGCUGGAGUUAUAGAUGGUUUUUAGCUGCCUGAUGUAGGUGCUGGGACAAACAGGUGUUCAUACCCUAAGCCAGAUUUUCAGCCUUGCAGGAUAGUUCUAUGAUUUCUAACCUUUGUGAUUAUUGUUACUUUGUAUUGCACUUGUGAGAUAUUCUCUGGGUCCAUUUUGGGAUACAUUAAUCAUGUUAACAAUAGAUAAAUUUACUAUAAAAUUCUGCUUUUGAUUUGGUCUGCUUUUAGUCAGCUAAGGAUGCCAGUUAAAACCACUAAGCUAUAACUUUUCUAUUCUGCAUGAAUUUAGUAAUUUAAUUUUAUGAGAAAUAACAAAUGAGGUUGAUUGGUCACUUUGUAGCAAUCAACAAACACUGCCACUAAGCUUGUAUUUGGUCUACAGGAUUCUUUCCAAGAGUAAAGCCUUAUUUUGAUGUGAGAAAUAACCAAGAAACUGAAAAAUUAUGCUGGUUGUCUUUCUCUUUGAAAAUGAGUAAGUUUUAAAAUGGCCUUAAAGUCAAUUAAAUCUAUUUGGUAAAAUUAGACUGGCCCAUUUUCGAUAUUUCUUUGCGUAAGCAUAGGUAGAAACAGCGAGUAAAAUCUUCCAUCGUUAAUUUUUCUCUGUUUUUGAUGCUCACACUUUACAAAUCCUUUAACUGUAGAUUUCAAUACUUGAAGUGAUUUAGGUAUCAGAACAUUAUUCUUUCUCAUUCAUUUCUUAUUCACCCAUCUCUCUUCUCUGAGACAGGGUCUCAGUGUGUUGUGUUGUCUGUCUAGCCUGGAACUCACUAAGUGCACCAGGAUACCCUAAAACUCAGAGAGAUUCAUCUGCCUCUGCCUUCUGAGUGCUGUGAUUCCCUGGGUGUGACAUCAGGUUUGACGUUUUUUUUUUUUUGUUUGCUUGUCUUUGAGACUAUAACCCAUGCUGCCCUAGAACUCACAGUGUAGCCGAGGAAGACCUUGGGCUCCUGAUCUUCCCAUCUCUGCCUCCUAAGUGCUUACUAAGUGUAACUAAGGGGUUACAGGUGUUUCCCACCAUGUCCAUAUUCAUCCCCCCUACACCCUU